UUUAUUUCGCAGAGGCAAUAUCGUAGCCUGUGAGGUUAAUCCGAGGCGUGUUCAUUGCUGGUUGAAAACUUUUUGGGGGCAGUCG
rnacentral:snRNA from 1 species